UCAAGGGAAAAGGCCAUGGUAGUUUAUUCGGCAGUCGGACAGGCUUUGAAUCCAGAUACGGAAACAAAGAGUACACAUUCACCUUCUCUUUUUCGCGGAGCCCCAAAUUCUGUUCUCUCCACACUAGAUGGCAGUAGAGUUAAAGAAGACACAGUCCAAAGUCGCUUUGGUUGAAUUUCCCCACUAAGCUGGGAUGAGACUAGAGCCAGAGCCCCACCUGCAUAAAGAGAAAGUUAAAUUACAACCCAGGUGCGAUGCGACACUCGGGCGUGUCACAUGCCCCUUUUGGUAAAAUGGAUUUGGGGCAGAACCUCUCUUUCUCUCUCCAUGCUGUGUCUUCACAGGAAUGGACAAGCCGAUGAUCCUAAAGCUCAGAUGGAAAUGCAAAGGACUCCAAACAGCCAAAAUAAUCUUGAAAAAGGACAAAGUUGGAACUUUGUCAGUUCCUGCAAAUAGAAAAGAUUUCAUGGAAAUGUCAUCAUACAAUAUGUGACCUAUCAUGUCUGGCUUCUUUCACUUAGCAUAGUGUUUUCAGGGUUCAUCCAUGUUGUAGCAUACAGCAUUAUUUCGUUCCUUUUUAUGGCCCCAAACAUUCCAUUGUAUUGGUAUACCAACCACAUGUUGUUGAUCCGUUUGUCUGUUGAUGGACUUUUGUAUCGUUUCUAUUCUUUGGCUAUUACAAAUAAUGCUGCCAUAAAACAUUCAUGUGCAA